rnacentral:rRNA from 1 species
CGGGUGAGUAACACGCAUCCAACCUGCCGUCUACUCUUGGACAGCCUUCUGAAAGGAAGAUUAAUACAAGAUGGCAUCAUGAGUCCGCAUGUUCACAUGAUUAAAGGUAUUCCGGUAGACGAUGGGGAUGCGUUCCAUUAGAUAGUAGGCGGGGUAACGGCCCACCUAGUCUUCGAUGGAUAGGGGUUCUGAGAGGAAGGUCCCCCACAUUGGAACUGAGACACGGUCCAA